rnacentral:rRNA from 1 species
UACGUAGGGACCAAGCGUUGUUCGGAUUUACUGGGCGUAAAGGGCGCGUAGGCGGCAAUUCAAGUCAUCUGUGAAAUCUCCGAGCUUAACUCGGAACGGUCAGAUGAUACUGCUUUGCUAGAGUGCAGAAGGGGCAACCGGAAUUCUUGGUGUAGCGGUGAAAUGCGUAGAUAUCUGGAGGAACACCGGUGGCGAAGGCGGCGAUCCUGGACCGAUACUGACGCUGAGGAGCGAAAGCCAGGGGAGCAAGCGGGAUUAAGAUGACCGAGAGUCCC